AACCCGGGGGGGCGUCCCUAACCMCAUGCAAAUUCGAACGAGAAAAGUGGAGCAAUCCAUGAGUAAAAGUGGCGCACGGGUGAGUAACACGUGACUAACCUACCCUUGAGUGGGGGAUAACUGAGGGAAACCUUAGCUAAUACCGCAUAAUACCUACGGGUCAAAGGAGCAAUUCGCUUAAGGAGGGGGUCGCGGCCGAUUAGUUAGUUGGCGGGGUAAUGGCCCACCAAGACGAUGAUCGGUAUCCGGCCUGAGAGGGCGCACGGACACACUGGAACUGAAACACGGUCCAGACUCCUACGGGAGGCAGCAGUGGGGAAUUUUGCGCAAUGGGGGAAACCCUGACGCAGCAACGCCGCGUGGAGGAUGAAGUCCUUCGGGACGUAAACUCCUUUCGAUCGGGACGAUUAUGACGGUACCGGAAGAAGAAGCCCCGGCUAACUUCGUGCCAGCAGCCGCGGUAAUACGAGGGGGGCGAGCGUUGUUCGGAAUUAUUGGGCGUAAAGGGUGCGUAGGCGGUUUGGUAAGUCUUAUGUGAAAUCUAUGGGCUCAACUCAUAGACUGCAUGAGAAACUGCCGGGCUUGAGUGUGGGAGAGGUGAGUGGAAUUCCUGGUGUAGCGGUGAAAUGCGUAGAUAUCAGGAGGAACACCUGUGGCGAAAGCGGCUCACUGGACCACAACUGACGCUGAUGCACGAAAGCUAGGGGAGCAAACAG
rnacentral:rRNA from 1 species